rnacentral:rRNA from 1 species
UUUUAUGCUCUAUAUUCGGUUGAAAUACACCGAAUCCCGUCCGGUCUCUAAAGCGAAUCAGUCGAAAGAUAUUUUAAUACUUGGAUAAGAAACUUCUUGGAAACUAUUAGUGGUGAAAGUC